AUCUUCAUCUGGGUCUGAAGCCUUGUUUGCCGGAGAAGCUUAGGGCGGAGACGCCGUCGGAGGAGUCCGAAACGACGACGUCGGGAACCGGGUCUGAUAAUUGUUGCUCUGAGGUCGCAGGUGAAAAGAAGCUUUUGAGACUCUUCCUCUGAAACAACAGACGAGUAUUAAUAACCUCUCUCUUUUUUUUUUUUAGUCUUAAAUAAUUUUAGGACAAUUAUAUAAGAAUUAAUGUAUAAUCUUCUCUUCUUAAUUUUGGCCUUCAGUAUAUUUAAUUAAAAUAUUUCCUCACUCCCUCUAGUGCUAUAGAGGAAUUUUGAGUUUUUAUUUUUUAUUUUUUAUCAUUCAAUAAAAUAUGACUACUUAUCGAUUCAUUAUCAAUCACAAGAAACCAUAGCCAAGAGAUGAUGGCAGCAAAAUUUGGAGCCAUGAAUGGAUUGUAGGGCAAGUAAUGUACACAAAUAGCAGAAGUUAAUUUCAGAUGAUGAAACCGAAAGGUGACUGGCUUUUGAAAAAGGCAAAUGAAUGGAAUUAGCAGCAUUUGAUUUUGGGUUUUGAUUUGUUAUUUCUGACCUACCAAAGGAAAAAGGAAAAUAGCCAAAUGGUUUUUGGGCAACAAGCGAAUCCCACCAUAUCAAAAAGCACGCCAGUAGGAACGAAGUAAAGCAAAUAAUAAUAAUUAUAGUCGGCAUCAAAAUUGAUUUUUUUUUUUGGUCUUUCAUUGUGAAUUUGUGAUCAGAUAAUUUGAGGAUUUAGCCCCAUUGACAUUGCUGGCAAUGGGGCUGUGGGUUCCAUUUUGACGCAUUUUGCAGCACAAGCACAUAUAAUGCUUUGCUUUGUGGCCGCAUCACCCAUUUUUGCGGGGACCCCUUUAUAGCUUUUCGUUGUUCUCUCUUCUCCUACAACUCAGUGUGUGGGAUUUUAUUAUUUUGGAUCAUUUUCUUGUGGAUUUACUUUUUUCCAGCGUCGUUCUCAAAAGAUAUUUUUGAGUAAACAAAUUUACAUAAAAAGGUAAAAAGCAUAUUUC
rnacentral:lncRNA from 1 species